rnacentral:rRNA from 1 species
GACGAACGCUGGCGGCGUGGAUUAGGCAUGCAAGUCGAACGGUAUCAUCCUUUCGGGGGUGAGAGAGUGGCGAACUGGUGAGUAACACGUAGGUUAUCUACCCUCAAGACGGGGACAACCCAGGGAAACUUGGGCUAAUACCGGAUGUGAGCAACUUUUAGUUGUUUGAAAGGUGGCGUAAGCUGUCGCUUGGGGAUGAGCCUGCGUCCUAUUAGUUAGUUGGUGAGGUAACGGCUCACCUAGGCAAUGAUAGGUAGGCGGCCUUAACGGGUGGUCGCCCACACUGGGAUUGAGAUACGGCCCAGACUCCUACGGGAGGCAGCAGUCGAGAAUAGUCUACAAUGGUCGGAAGACUGAUAGUGCGACGCCGCGUGAACGAUGAAUCCCUUCGGGGUGUAAAGCUCUGUCUGGGAGGGACGAACAAAAUGACGGUACCUCCGGAGGAAGCCACGGCUAACUACGUG